GAAAACUUCAAAAAAACCCAUGUGGUUUCGUAGUUUCUCACUUUGCUCCCCUAUGGUUUAAAAUGCAUCAAAUUGGCCUCCCUGUGCUUUCGUUUUUAUCUUUUCGGUAGCUUUUUCGUUAAUAUUUUAUUAAAUUAUAUACAAACAACUUGAGAUACCCAUCUAGAUUUAUCAAAUAUUCACUUUAGUACCCUUUAAAUUAACUUUAUCAUUGAUUUAAGAAAAAUAAAAAAAAAUUGAUAAGAAAAAGAGAAAAAAGAAACCACAGGGGGACAAAUUGAUACAUUUUAAACCACAUGGGGGCAAAGUGAGAAACUACGAAAUCACAGGGGGGGUUUUUGAAGUUUUUCCUUAAUUUAUUCCCUUAACUUAAUUUCAUCUUGUGCGAAACUGUAGCCCAUUUAUUUUACUUCCACGUAUUAUUAAUUGUUGGCUUAAAUGAGCCAGUAUUUCCCCAUAUGGCGGGACGUCAGGUUGAGCUGAUCGAGUCACGUGCGAAAUGGCAAAAUGUCAGAUUGGGACGAGUCAUAGUCGAAAUAAUUUGACGCUGGUUGGGCCGAGUCAGAUCAAAGUCCGUGAACGCUGUGGUUGUGUGAUAAGUGUGCCCUUUCUAUUAGUACAUACUUUCGGGAUAAUUAAUUAGCACUUACGAUCUACAAGUAGUAUCAGAUCCAGUGAUGCCGGUUCAAUUCCCACACACUGCAUCAACAGUGUAGGUAUUUGAGGUAGGGGGGAUUAUUUGCUAUUUAUUAUUGGGCUAAAAUAGGUCCAACUGUCUGUCCUGUGACAAUAGACUCAAAAAGACUAAUAAAUUGAGUUGAAUGAGUCUAAUAAGUUGAGUGAGACUGUUAUUCAUAAAAGAUCUAAUGGUAAGAUGUCCAAUAAUAGACCUAACGUUCAGAUGCAUUGAAUUAAGUCGAAGUCCGUAAGCACUGUAGUUGAGCUCUUAAGUACGAUAAGUACGCUCUUUCUAUUAAUACAUAUUUUUAAAAUAGUUAAUUAAUACUUACGAUCCACAUUAAUCACCACGACUAUAGAGAGGUUGUUUUAGAGGAGAAGGGUAGGUAAAAAAUAAAUAAAAACUUGCAUCUGUUAGAGGUUGAUUGGUCGGUGGAUGCAAGGUGCCGAUGGAGACGGAUUUUUAGGUGAGCGGGUUACGCGGGACAUAUAUUCUACCCGGCCCGUCAUCGAUUUAUUUGCAUCUGUUAAAUUAUGUAAAAUAAUUAUUAUUUUUUAAUAAUUUAAGUAGUAAAAAAUAAUAUUAUUAUAUUUUUAGAUUUAACAUUUUUUUUUUAUAUUUGUGUUCGAGACUAUUUGAUAAACUUAAGAUAUGACAGAAUUCGAAUUUAAAAUCAUCUAUUUUGAUAACAUGUUAAAUUAUAUAAAUUAUUAUUCUCCAAUAACUUAAGUUAAGAGAGAAUAAUAUCUCCAUAUUU
rnacentral:lncRNA from 1 species